rnacentral:rRNA from 1 species
UACGAAGGACCCGAGCGUUAUCCGGAUUUAUUGGGUUUAAAGGGUGCGUAGGCGGACUAAUAAGUCAGUGGUGAAAGCCUGAUGCUUAACAUCAGAAUUGCCAUUGAUACUGUUAGUCUUGAGUAUGGUUGAGGUGGGCGGAAUGUGUCAUGUAGCGGUGAAAUGCUUAGAUAUGACACAGAACACCAAUUGCGAAGGCAGCUCGCUAAGCCAUAACUGACGCUGAGGCACGAAAGCGUGGGGAGCAAACAGG